rnacentral:rRNA from 1 species
GACGAACGCUGGCGGCGUGCUUAACACAUGCAAGUCGAACGGAAAGGCCCUGCUUUUGUGGGGUGCUCGAGUGGCGAACGGGUGAGUAACACGUGAGUAACCUGCCCUUGACUUUGGGAUAACUUCAGGAAACUGGGGCUCAUACCGGAUAGGAGCUCCUGCUGCAUGUGGGGGGUUGGAAAGUUUCGGCGGUUGGGGAUGGACUCGCGGCUUCUCAGCUUGUUUGUGGGGUAGUGGCUUACCAAGGCUGUGACGGGUAGCCGGCCUGAGAGGGUGACCGGCCACAUGGGGACUGAGAUACGGCCCAGACUCCUACGGGAGGCAGCAGUGGGGAAUAUUGCACAAUGGGCGGAAGCCUGAUGCAGCAACGCCGCGUGCGGGAUGACGGCCUUCGGGUUGUAAACCGCUUUCGCCGGUGACGAAGCGUGAGUGACGGUAAUGGGCAAAGAAGCACCGGCUAACUACGUG